GGGUGCGAUCAUACUAGCACUAAUGCACCGGAGACCAUCAGAACUCCGAAGUUAAGCGUGCUUGAGCGAGAGUAGUAAUAGGAUGGGUGACCCCUUGGGAAGUCCUCGUGCUGCACCCC
rfam:Daucus carota subsp. sativus cultivar DH1 chromosome 8, whole genome shotgun sequence.